rnacentral:rRNA from 1 species
AUUGAACGCUGGCGGCAGGCUUAACACAUGCAAGUCGAGCGGGGUGAUGGUGCUUGCACUAUCACUUAGCGGCGGACGGGUGAGUAAUGCUUAGGAAUCUGCCUAUUAGUGGGGGACAACAUCUCGAAAGGGAUGCUAAUACCGCAUACGUCCUACGGGAGAAAGCAGGGGAUCACUUGUGCCCUUGCGCUAAUAGAUGAGCCUAAGUCGGAUUAGCUAGUGGGUGGGGUAAAGGCCUACCAAGGCGACGAUCUGUAGCGGGUCUGAGAGGAUGAUCCGCCACACUGGGACUGAGACACGGCCCAGACUCCUACGGGAGGCAGCAGUGGGGAAUAUUGGACAAUGGGGGGAACUCUGAUCCAGCCAUGCCGCGUGUGUGAAGAAGGCUUUAUGGUUGUAAAGCACUUUAAGCGAGGAGGAGGCUCUUUUGGUUAAUACCCAAGAUGAGUGGACGUUACUCGCAGAAUAAGCACCGGCUAACUCUGUGCCAGCAGCCGCAGUAA